rnacentral:rRNA from 1 species
UACGGGGGGAGCAAGCGUUGUUCGGAUUUACUGGGCGUAAAGGGCGCGUAGGCGGUCAGCACAAGUCAGUUGUGAAAUCUCCGGGCUUAACUCGGAAAGGUCAACUGAUACUGUGCGACUAGAGUGCGGAAGGGGCAACUGGAAUUCUUGGUGUAGCGGUGAAAUGCGUAGAUAUCAAGAGGAACACCUGCGGCGAAGGCGGGUUGCUGGGCCGAUACUGACGCUGAGGAGCGAAAGCGUGGGGAGCGAACAGG